rnacentral:ncRNA from 1 species
AAAAAGUUUUAUUCUUGCUUAAUUUUUCACUUGUUCUUUAUAUUAUAUGUAAGUUUUAGUUAAACUAAAUGUUCUUUUAGCAGUAAUUUAAUUUAAUAAGUCAAGUGAUUUUGGAUUUAGUAAUUGAUUUAUUAUCGGCAUAUUUCGUGCCAGCAGUCGCGGUUAUACGAUUGAUGAAAGUGAAUUUUAUUUGUUAGCAGUUAUUUAUUUUUUGUGUUUAAUUUGAAAUUUUUAUGGUGAAAUUUUAUUUUUUUUUUUGACUCUUUUUAUGAAUCUGUGAAACUUAAAUUGUAAACUAGGAUUAGAUACCCUAUUAUUUUAAGUGUAAAAUUUUUACUUACUUGGGUAUUAAUAGAUAAGGUCUUUAAACCUAAAGAAUUUGGCGGUAUCUUAUACCAUUCAGAGGAACCUACCCCGUAAUUGAUAAUACACGAUUAAUUUUACUUAAUUUAUUUGUUUGUAUAUCUCCGUUAUCAGAAAGUCUUUUUAGAGUUUAAAUUUUCUAAAUCCAUAAUUAUGGAUUAUUUCAGGUCAAGAUGCAAUUUAUAAUUAAGAGGAGGCGGGUUACAAUAAAUUUUUAUUUAUAAUGGAUUUGGUGAUGAAAUUUUUUAAUGAAGGUGGAUUUGAUAGUAAUUUGAUUUAUUUAAUUUAAUUGAUAUUGGCUCUGAGGUGUGUACACAUCGCCCGUCGCUCUCAUUACUAUUAAAUCAAUAAUUUUUAAUUUUGAUUUGAAAACUUAGAUGAGAUAAGUCGUAACAUAGUAGAUGUACUGGAAAGUGUAUCUAGAAAUAUUU